rnacentral:misc_RNA from 1 species
UGUAGGAGCGAGCUUGCUCGCGAUGGAGUGUCAUUCACAUUGGUGUCGACUGACACGCCAUCGCGAGCAAGCUCGCUCCCACA